GCAAAUAGGGACAGAUUUACUUCUCAUUGCAGGUUUUGUAGCCACUUUGAAGUCAGCAUCUUUUUCCUUUUCCAGUCCUUGCCCAACCGCAGACCUAUUUUCCAUUCCUGUUGUUUUGCCUUGUACAGAAUGCCAUAUAGAUGUAAUAAUGUAAAAAUGNNUAUUUUAUUUAUAUUAGUGACUUAUUGGCUGGACCACUUUGCUUAUUCAUUUAUUUUAAUGUAGUUCCUUAAUAUCUUAUA
rnacentral:lncRNA from 1 species